rnacentral:rRNA from 1 species
GAUGAACGCUGGCGGCGUGCCUAAUACAUGCAAGUCGAGCGAACAGACGAGGAGCUUGCUCCUCUGACGUUAGCGGCGGACGGGUGAGUAACACGUGGAUAACCUACCUAUAAGACUGGGAUAACUUCGGGAAACCGGAGCUAAUACCGGAUAAUAUAUUGAACCGCAUGGUUCAAUAGUGAAAGACGGUUUUGCUGUCACUUAUAGAUGGAUCCGCGCCGCAUUAGCUAGUUGGUAAGGUAACGGCUUACCAAGGCAACGAUGCGUAGCCGACCUGAGAGGGUGAUCGGCCACACUGGAACUGAGACACGGUCCAGACUCCUACGGGAGGCAGCAGUAGGGAAUCUUCCGCAAUGGGCGAAAGCUUGACGGAGCAACGCCGCGUGAGUGAUGAAGGUCUUCGGAUCGUAAAACUCUGUUAUUAGGGAAGAACAAAUGUGUAAGUAACUAUGCACGUCUUGACGGUACCUAAUCAGAAAGCCCCGGCUCCCUACGUG